rnacentral:lncRNA from 1 species
UAAAAUAUUUUUAGCUAUUAGUAUGCAGCUAAUCAACUCCAUUAUCAGUAGGCCUUUAGUUUCCUUUUUUAUACUUGUACCAAUCAGCUUUAUAUUAACAGUUUUAUAAGACCAAACACCUAAAAUAAACAAAGAAAAUAAGAUUCCCAACCAAAAAAAAAAUUAAAAAUUAAAAAAAAGGGGAACUAUAAGUGUGAAGGAAAGUGGUGGUUGUUAGGUGGUUCAACCAAACGCUGCCAACCCUUUAAAACGGCGUUUUCAUCCAUCUUGCGUUUUCCCUCUUCAACAGUAAAAUAUCGUCAUUACGGAGGGUAUUAAAGUCAUUUAAAGAGCAGAAAGGUCGAAAACGUGGUGACACUUCUGUACUGUCUCUCUACACGUGGCAGGUGCAUUGGGAAGACAAUUGUUUUUCUCGGUUACUGUUACUGUGGGUGGUGGUGGUGAGGUCACCGGAUUUUCCGGUUCCCGGUUAAAGCUAUUAUCCCAACUGAAACCCAUUGGUCCAUUGUUAAUUUCACUUUUCUUAUAUUUUUUUUUGUUUUUUGUUUUUUGGUGUUUUUUUUUUUUUUUUUUUUUUUUUUGUCGUCUUGGUGUUUUAAAAAUAAAACUGUGAUGAGUUAGGUUUGGGUUAUAAUGAUUAGUUUUGUGAAGUCAGCGAAAACGAAAGCUGUACCAAUAUGGAUCAGCUUCAUUAACCGGUUUGGAUCCUCCGGUUUAACUACUCUACAAGACUAUAACCGGCUCUGCUAGGAUUUUUUUAUUUAUUUUAUCUUUUCCAAAUUUGUGUAGUGGUUAGAAUAUUCGACUAGACCCACCCAAGAAAUAUUCACUUGUUGUUGUUAUGAGUUUAAAACUAAAAUCAUAUUUGAAUGACAUGACAAAAAAAACUUUGGACAUUUUAAAUUGCCUUUUGUCUCUUAUUUAAUUGACCUUCUUUUCUUCACAUACCAUAUUAUCUUUUAGUUUAU